GUGGUUUCAAGAUAUUCCUACAGAAAUGUUUGUGGAGAGGAGAACACUGCCAAGUGUUGAAGGAGAAUGAGGAAAGGACCUCCUGACUCCUCCUGGAACGAUGUAAUCAGCCCUUCUCCCUACUUCACACUGGAGCAAACAGACAUCUGGGGAGGGAGAACUGUGCUGAAGUAGUAGCUGUGGAUGACAGAAGCUGGAGGUGGCACAGAUCAGCAGCUCCCUGGGUGGUGGCUGUCCUGUGCCGACUGUGCACCUUGGCUCACAGGAGUUAUCACUUCUGAGUCACAAGGGGCUGGCGAGCAGCUUGGCUUUGGCAUUCACACCAGGUUCACAUCACAAGAUCAAUGAUUUGAAAGCUGCAAAACAAAAUUGGAAGACCUUUCUGAGGAAAACUCGUGUGAGCAACAGGACCUGAGCAGGCUUGAGGUGCCAGAAGACCAACUUUGAAAAGAAUUUCAAGCUGGAAAUGCCGUCUAGAAGGAACUGGGAGACUCACUCAAAUAAAUGACACUAUCAGAAGUAAUGACAAGACUUUUAGUUCUGGUUAAAAAUGGUAAUCCAGUUUUCAAAUAUACUGAGUAUCAAUUCUCUCCUCUGAACUGAGUAGGUGCUUCAGACAGUUGACGCUGGAAGGGCACAGAACACACGUUCUCUUCCCGUAUGUUAACAGAUCAUCAAACCAUUCUGUGUAGUCUCAGAGCAACCAGCUGUUCUGCUUUAGCUAGUUCCCUUGAACACUUAGGAUGAUUUGUUUUUGUUUUCCUUCUUUUCUUCUUCUUUUCUUCUUUUCUUCUUUUCUUCUUUUCUUCUUUUCUUCUUUUCUUCCUUCCUUCCUUCCUUCCUUCCUUCCUUUCCUUUCUUUCUUUCCUUUCUUUUUUCCCCCUUUGGCUGAUUUUUCUGUCUCGUGAUCACAAACCAUGAAUUCAUGAAUGCCAUUCAGUUUUUUGGUUUGUUUAUUUUUCCUUCUUCUACCCUAAAUACAACUUCCUUUUAUGAGGAUUAUUUCUCAAACACAUUGCUAUUGAGACUGAAUCUCUCUGACAGCAGUGAUCACAGCAGAAACCUACAUGUAUGCAUGACAAAGCUCGCCAGUAGUACUAUACAGUGACAUGCUUGGAAGUGAUAGCACCACUGCCAUUUCUCUGUAUCCCCCAUACCAACAUUUAUUUGUGCCUUUCAGGGCAUUUUCAUGUAAUGUAUUCCCUUCUUUUUUUUCAUGUUUUUGUUUAUGUCUGGAAUUUCAGAGAAUUAAUCUAGACAACCCAGGCUGCCUAUUCAAACCUUGAUUCUAAAACCUGUGAUUAGCUCUAGAUUUAGAUUAAAUAAAGCACACAAUGCAUCCUAAAUAGUACAAAUAAGUCAAUUCCUAGGUUUCCAGACAUAACUGAACUAGAUGCAGACACAUCCCAAAUCCAGGGCAAGAUUCCAUUGGUAUCAGAGCUCAUCUGUUUUGCACAAAUAGGAACAGAUACGUCAUACAGAGGAAAGAGAAGGUAAAUCCAAGGAACUUGGGAAAAAAAAAAUCACACUGUAACAAAUUAGUAUAUUUUUUCAGUCAUCUGAACAGCAGAGCAAAAUGACUGUAUUCCAGAAACUAAGUUCACAUGGUUUGAAACAAGCCAUCUCAGAAAUGACUAAGCACUUUCUCAGUGUGUGAACACUACACGACAGUGAUUCUCAAACUGACUAUCAGGAAAAACGGAUAUCAGAAAGGAGUUAACUUGAAGAAACUGGAAAGCGUAUAUUGAAAUGAACUGAUAUUCUUGAGGCAAUGAAACACUAAACACAGCUGACUACCGUGCCCAAGGGACAGCAGGAGUCUGGUCUGUUCUGAUGAGUCAUUCACUGUGUGUAAAGGGUCUACUUAGGUGGUGAUUCAAGAAUGUGAACAUUUCUCCAUCUUUUGGUAAUUUUAGCAUUUGCUAUUUUUCACUGUCUGCUCUUCCUUUUGCACUACAAAAACGAUUCCAAAUUCUAAACACAAUACUAAUCUGGCUUUUGUCUCUUUAAUAUUUUGCCUAUUCAGUAACCUUUCUAGUUUACAUGAACGCUACUAUAUGCAGUGUUAUGAUGCAGUAAACUGCUGGACUUUCAAAUAAUUUGAGAUGCCAAAAGUAUAAGAUCUAUUAAAAUUUUCAGAAUGCUAACUUCAGAAAGAAAUGAGGUCCAUCUUUAUUUUUGAUAGAAACCUCAUUUUCAGUCCAGAUGAUUUCAAGUUUGCAGUUCUUAUUCUUUACAGUGAAUAUACACUAAUACUUGGCAAGCUUCAUAUAGGAUUGUGCUUCCAGGAUUAAUAAACUAUUUUUUUAUUAUUAUUAUUAUUUUGGUAAUCAGCACAUUAAACAAUGAUUUUGCACAUGCUAAUCUGAAAUCAAUGACGAUCUGAAAUGUUUUUGCUGAGUUUUAAACUGAAAAUCAGACUUAUCCAAACAGAUACACAUUCCUUGAUCAAUCUGAAAAGCAAUUACAAUAUUAUGGAAAAGAGCAGUAUCCAUACUUGAGAGUUAUUUGUGAUGGAUAAUGCAAUGUUGCAUGAAACUGAGGGAUGUAAGGAUGGAGUACAGCACUGCUGAAAAAAGCAGCUGAAGAAGACAGCUGUAUCCCGUGCUUCAUCAAAAGCAGCAUGGCCAUCAGGUCGUCUACUCUGCACUGCUGAGGCCUCAUCUGGAUUACCACAUCCAGAUGUGGAGUCCUCAGUUUAGGAGAGACAUGGGUCUGUUGAAGUGUGUCCAGAGAUGAGCCACAAAAAUGAUCCAAGGGAUGGAACACCUCCCUUAUGAGGACAGGCUGAGAGAGCUGGGGCUGUUC